AACCAGCACCUCAAGUGGUCAGGAUGAUUAUUGGGCCUAAAGCAUCCGUAGCCGGCUCUGUAAGUUUUCGGUUAAAUCUGUACGCUUAACGUACAGGCUGCCGGGAAUACUGCAGAGCUAGGUAGUGGGAGAGGUAGACGGUACUCGGUAGGAAGGGGUAAAAUCCUUUGAUCUAUUGAUGACCACCUGUGGCGAAGGCGGUCUACCAGAACACGUACGACGGUGAGGGAUGAAAGCUGGGGGAGCAAACCGGAUUAGAUACCCGGGUAGUCCCAGCUGUAAACUAUGCAAACUCAGUGAUGCAUUGGCUUGUGGCCAAUGCAGUGCUGCAGGGAAGCCGUUAAGUUUGCCGCCUGGGAAGUACGUACGCAAGUAUGAAACUUAAAGGAAUUGGCGGGGGAGCACCACAAGGGGUGAAGCCUGCGGUUCAAUUGGAGUCAACGCCAGAAAUCUUACCCGGAGAGACAGCAGAAUGAAGGUCAAGCUGAAGACUUUACCAGACAAGCUGAGAGGUGGUGCAUGGCCGUCGCCAGCUCGUGCCGUGAGAUGUCCUGUUAAGUCAGGUAACGAGCGAGAUCCCUGCCUCUAGUUGCCGCCAUUACUCUCAGGAGUAGUGGGGCGAAUUAGCGGGACCGCCGCAGUUAAUGCGGAGGAAGGAAGGGGCCACGGCAGGUCAGUAUGCCCCGAAACUCUGGGGCCACACGCGGGCUGCAAUGGUAACGACAAUGGGUUUCGAAUUCGAAAGGAUGAGGUAAUCCUCAAACGUUACCACAGUUAUGACUGAGGGCUGCAACUCGCCCUCACGAAUAUGGAAUCCCUAGUAACUGCGUGUCACUAUCGCGCGGUGAAUACGUCCCUGCUCCU
rnacentral:rRNA from 1 species